rnacentral:rRNA from 1 species
GUAAUAUUAACGGCGUAAAGCACGACUAAUAAAACGUCCUAGUAUUAGGAAAGAAGCUAAACUAGGCUGUAAAAAGCCAUAAGCAACACUAACCACCCUAAUAAAAAACAGAUUCCACUCGUGAAAGCUAGGAUACAAACUAAGAUUAGAUACCUUACUAUGCCUAGCCAUAACACAACAAUUAAAUUACCCAUUGUUCGCCAAAUAACUACGAGUGAAAACUUAAAAUUUAAAAGACUUGACGGUACCUCAAAACAACCUAGAGGAGCCUGUCCAAUAACCGAUACUCCACGAUUAACCCAACCCACCCUAGCCUAACAGUCUAUAUACCGCCGUCGCCAGCCUACCUUAUGAAAGAAACAAAGUGAGCUAAAUAGUCAUACACUAAUACGACAGGUCGAGGUGUAACUUAUGGGUGGGCCAAAGAUGGGCUACAUUUUCUUAAUACAGAAAAUACGGAUAGAUCUAUGAAAUAGAAACUGAAGGCGGAUUUAGAAGUACAAUGGGAACAAUAAACCCAAUAGAAAUUAACGCAAUGAGGUGCGUACACACCGCCCGUCAUCCCUGUUUACACAAACCAAAAACAUACAUAAA